UAGGGAAUCUUCGGCAAUGGACGAAAGUCUGACCGAGCAACGCCGCGUGAGUGAAGAAGGUUUUCGGAUCGUAAAACUCUGUUGUUAGAGAAGAACAAGGACGUUAGUAACUGAACGUCCCCUGACGGUAUCUAACCAGAAAGCCACGGCUAACUACGUGCCAGCAGCCGCGGUAAUACGUAGGUGGCAAGCGUUGUCCGGAUUUAUUGGGCGUAAAGCGAGCGCAGGCGGUUUCUUAAGUCUGAUGUGAAAGCCCCCGGCUCAACCGGGGAGGGUCAUUGGAAACUGGGAGACUUGAGUGCAGAAGAGGGGAGUGGAAUUCCAUGUGUAGCGGUGAAAUGCGUAGAUAUAUGGAGGAACACCAGUGGCGAAGGCGGCUCUCUGGUAUGUAACUGACGCUGAGGCUCGAAAGCGUGGGGAGCAAACAGG
rnacentral:rRNA from 1 species